rfam:Triticum aestivum genome assembly, contig: Triticum_aestivum_CS42_TGACv1_scaffold_577804_7BL
UAGAUACUCCCUCCGUUCGGAAAUAUUUGUCAUCAAAAUGAAUAAAAAGGGAUGUAUCUAGAUGUAUUUUAGUUCUAGAUACAAUCCUUUUUGUCCAUUUUGAUGACAAGUAUUUUCGGACGGAGGGAGUAUAAG